GAUGAACGCUAGCUACAGGCUUAACACAUGCAAGUCGAGGGGAAACGAUGAGAGAGCUUGCUCUCUUAGUCGUCGACCGGCGCACGGGUGAGUAACGCGUAUCCAACCUGCCUCUGACCAAGGGAUAACCCGUCGAAAGUCGGACUAAUACCUUAUGCAGUCGUCGGAAGUCAUCUGAUGACGACGAAAGAUUUCAUCGGUGAGAGAUGGGGAUGCGUCUGAUUAGCUUGUUGGCGGGGUAACGGCCCACCAAGGCGACGAUCAGUAGGGGUUCUGAGAGGAAGGUCCCCCACAUUGGAACUGUGACACGGUCCAAACUCCUACGGGAGGCAGCAGUGAGGAAUAUUGGUCAAUGGGCGUAAGCCUGAACCAGCCAAGUAGCGUGCAGGAUGACGGCCCUAUGGGUUGUAAACUGCUUUUAUGCGGGGAUAAAGUGAGGGACGUGGCCUUCAUUGCAGGUACCGCAUGAAUAAGGACCGGCUAAUUCCGU
rnacentral:rRNA from 1 species